rnacentral:rRNA from 1 species
GACGAACGCUGGCGGCAUGCCUAACACAUGCAAGUCGAACGGAGUUUUCUUAUUGGAUUCCUUCGGGAUGAAGAUAUUAAAACUUAGUGGCGGACGGGUGAGUAACGCGUGGGUAACCUGCCCUUUUGUGGGGAACAACUUCGAGAAAUUGAAGCUAAUACCGCAUACUCUUAAAGAGUCGCAUGACUUUUUAAGGAAAGAUGGCCUCUGAACAUGCUAUCGCAAAAGGAUGGACCCGCGUCUGAUUAGCUAGUUGGAAGGGUAACGGCCUACCAAGGCGACGAUCAGUAGCCGGCCUGAGAGGGUGAACGGCCACAUUGGGACUGAGACACGGCCCAAAACUCCUACGGGAGGCAGCAGUGGGGAAUAUUGGGCAAUGGGGGAAACCCUGACCCAGCAACGCCGCGUGAAGGAAGAAGGCCUUCGG